GUAUGUCUGAAGGAUAGAAUUUAAAUUCUUAACACUUUGGAUAUGCUCUCGUCCAAGAAAAAAAAUAAUAAUAAUAAAAACCCUGAUGAUGAUCACAUCACUAUGUGGUUCACCUUCCCCACGACUAGAAAAAUAACCGUGUGUGUCUGCAGCCUGCGCCUAUCACUAAGCUCCAUGCCCAUCCCCUGCUGCACCCUGGAUACUGCUCCAUGGGUGUGAUUUACCAAGAUAGUUUCUGGUCAUGUCUAUUCCUACUGAUGUUCUUCAUAUUUAAUAAAUUUGGUUACCACUAA